GACGAACGCUGGCGGCGUGCUUAACACAUGCAAGUCGAACGGAAAGGCCCUGCUUUUGUGGGGUGCUCGUGUGGCGCGGGGGGGUGUAACACGUGUGUAACCUGCCCUUGACUUUGGGAUAACUUCGGGAAACUGGGGCUAAUACCGGAUAGGAGCUCCUGCUGCAUGGUGGUGGAUGGUAAGUUUCGGCGGUGGGGGAUGGACUCGCGGCUUAUCAGCUGGUUGGGGGGGUAGGGGCUUACCAAGGCUUUGACGGGUAGCCGGCCUGAGAGGGUGACCGGCCACAUGGGGACUGAGAUACGGCCCAGACUCCUACGGGAGGCAGCAGGGGGGAAUAUGGCACAAUGGGCCGAAGCCUGAUGCAGCAACGCCGCGUGCGGAAUGACGGCCUUCGGGUGGUAAACCGCUUUGGCAGGUGACGAGCCCUUAGUGACGGUAAUGGGUAAAGAAGCACCGGCUAACUACGUG
rnacentral:rRNA from 1 species